GCGAGAGCCCAGAGAGCUGAACCUGCAUCCCGGACCUGCGGCGACCGUCGUACACCAUGGGCCUCCACCUCCGCCCCUACCGUGUGGGGCUGCUCCCGGAUGGCCUCCUGUUCCUCUUGCUGCUGCUAAUGCUGCUCGCGGACCCAGCGCUCCCGGCCGGACGUCACCCCCCAGUGGUGCUGGUAGAGAUGGGCUUUCACCAUAUUGGCCAAGCUGGUCUUGAACUCCUGACCGCAAGUGAUCCACUCACCUCGGCCUCCCAAAGUGCUGGGAUUACAGGCAUGAGCCCCUGCGCCCUGCCUCGAAGUCCCUGGUGAUUUGGGUAACCAACUGGAAGCCAAGCUGGACAAGCCGACAGUGGUGCACUACCUCUGCUCCAAGAAGACCGAAAGCUACUUCACAAUCUGGCUGAACCUGGAACUGCUGCUGCCUGUCAUCAUUGACUGCUGGAUUGACAAUAUCAGGCUGGUUUACAACAAAACAUCCAGGGCCACCCAGUUUCCUGAUGGUGUGGAUGUACGUGUCCCUGGCUUUGGGAAGACCUUCUCACUGGAGUUCCUGGACCCCAGCAAAAGCAGCGUGGG
rnacentral:lncRNA from 10 species